ACUAACACACCAUUGUAAAGCAAUUAUACUCCAAUAAAGAUGUUAAAAAAUAAAACAAAAUAAAAUACUGCUGGAUCUUUCCUUUCAAAACCAUUUAAAGGGAGAAAAAAAUCCAAAUCUCUCUCCUAUUAAUUACAAUAGAAAUCUGAAUUGCCACCCAAAAGCAUUUUAGAGGGUGGUUUUCUGUGUCUAUUAAAUAGAAUAAGGAGCAGAAGUUGAGAGCUUUUGUUCUGAAGUCUUUAUACCAUAUUCCAGCUAUCCAAGAAGAUGAGCAGCCAGUGUCCCCAAACUGCUGAUGGGUGAAGGCAGAUGGCGUCUCAGAGGGGAUAGAAAACUCUCCUGGAAAGAAUGUCCGUCACUUCCUCAACAGUACAGGUUAACUGUGGUCAAACAGUAUUCACUCAACUCCACUCCCCGAGGUCAGAGCCACGGGGUCAAACAACCACUCUCCUUCCCUGCCCCCAGUUAUGAGCAGGGAAAGAACGGUCUAAGGCACAAGUAUUAAAGGGUUCAGGAUACUGAUAUAUUCCUUCUCCAAAAGUCGACAUCAAACAACCAAAAGCCCUCAGCAACAGCUUAUAGUAAAAACCAAACAAAUCUGACAGUGUUGAGGCUAGCUGAAGUUCUCCCCCAAAAGGGAGGAUGAAAGCAGCAAGAAAAUAAUUUCAGAGGCCUUAAAAUCUGUUAAGUUGAACAUGUUUGUCUUCUACAACCCCCAAGUACCAGGGUCUUAUUCUAUCUAAUUAUAUAUUCCAACAUUUCCACCCAUAACACAUAUCUGAGUUUUGUAUGAAUAGCUGAAACACAGCUAGCCACAGGGAUUGAGGGGGAAAAGAAAAUAUAACACAGGAAGUAUUUUACUCCUCCUCCAAUCAUUAAGACACCCCAGGGGAAAAAGGCGUUUUGGGUCACCUUUAGAGAUGUGGUUUGAUCUGAAACCCCUCUUUGGGGAAAACCUUCUUCAUGACCCUGAACAUUGGCUCACACUGCACUGGCGACUCAUCAGACCUCCAAGUCCAUUCUGUUUAACUUCCGAAGUAGAUACUCUCACUGAAAUCCCCAUUCUCCCCCCUACCAGAUUCCCUUAAAAAAGAAAAGAAAAAGAAAGAAAGAAAGAGGUUGGUUUUCCCCAGCUCUAGGAAAACGCUCCCUCCUCUGUCCACCAAUCGCCCUUGUCCAGGACUCAAGUGGCCAUCUCCGAUUUGCGGAAUCAGCACUGGGCCAAGCCGUGGUUUACGGACCCGGUUUACAAUGAUCAAUGGAGCUAUGGGAACAGCAGACACCGCGAAGGAGCCUGCUGGCCUCCCAUCUGGAGCCUCACAGGCACUGAAGAGAGCAGCAGCUGAGGGUGUAUUUCGAAGUCGGGGGAUGACUAGCAAGUAUGCGCCAGAUGAGACCUCCGGGGUGACCUGGAAUUACAGAGGCCACUCAUUCUCGGAAUAGGGUUAUGAAAACUGUAAUAUUGUAGAGAUGAAAAGGACCUAUGAAGACCACCUGAUCUGUCAACUUUCUCAAAAGACCACACCUACAUGUAGACAAGUAGGUGUGUGACCUUCAAAGCUUUAGGCUCUCAGAACUUCCGGUGUCUCACUAUAUCAUGAAAGGAAGUUCUUCCUUUUGUGUGACCUAUAUAGUACAUGUUGCGGGCAAGUCCCUCUCAUUCCUGGAAGCUCGCUCAUUGAUGCUGGCCAGGGGUCUCCCCACAGCUUUGGAUAGAUGUCUAGAACCCUCCCUUCACUGGAGCAGUAGGUGCAGGGGAAAAUUGGAUGUGCUGGAAGAGAGAAGUUGGCAUGUGGGCCAGCCUGGUACCUGCACCUGACCCCCACGAUCAACUUUGCACCCCCUUUCAUAUCCACAAACAUUUACUGAGCACCAGUUCAGGUCAAGUAUUGUACUGGGCAUAGGAAUGCUCAGAGGACCCUGAUGGACCUUGAGUGCCUUGAGAAGUUACAUAUAUAUAUAUUUACAUAUAUAUAUAAAUGGUGACAGUUAUGUAUAUACAUAACAUAAAUGUAUCAUUUUAACUAUUAACUAGUUCAGAGGCAUUAAGUACACUCACGUUGUGCAGCCAUCACCACCAUCCGUAUCCAGAACUUUUCAUCUUCCUAAAUUAGUUCUCUGAACUCAUUAAAUAAUAACUCCCCACUCCCAUCCUUCUCCCAGCCCCUGGCAACCACCAUUCCACUUCCUGUCUCUAUGGAUUUGACUACUCUAGGAAACUCAUAUAAGUGAAAUCAUACAGUAUUUGUCUUUUUAUGACUGGCUUGUUAUACUUAGCAUAAUGUAUUUAAGGUUCAUUCACGUUGUAGCAUGCGUCAGAAUUUCCUUCUUUUUUUAAGG